CGAGACUUUCGCAGAGCUUUCUGGUAGGAGGCCAGAGCCCAGGCCAGAGACACAAGGGAGGCUGCUGCAGUCAUGCCUGCAAAAACACACAUAAACAAGCCUGCAGCUUGUAUGUCUGUAUGAUGAUGCACAGCUGCAGCACCAGUUGAGGAGCACUCUCCAGAAAGGUGGCGAGCAAAUGCAGCAUGCUCACAUCUGCAAACUCAUACACCAUCCUCAGGUGGUAACGCCAGCGCUCCGUCUCUCCACUCUGACGACUCCGUAUUCCCAGGUAGAUGGUGUGGAAAUACCUGGGGGAAGUUAUAUGACGCUGUCGCUCCAGGCUCGACGACGCCUGAUGCACAGGCUGGAGACAAAAAGAGGAGACAAGGAGACGGUGGAAGGCUGCAUCGAUCUGCCCUCUCUGUAGAACAGAGCGAAAACGAUGACAUCACACCGCUCCCCUGUCUUUUUCUCCCUCUGUCGGCGAGUGGAGGCUUACAAAAAUUUAAAUAGCCCCCUCUCCCCACCACCCACCACUCCCUCUGACCUGUCAGUGAACAUGGAUACUGUCAGAACCCAGGUGGUGCUGAAGUUCUGCUUUGGACAUAUUUCAGGUCGUAUGUUAACUGUCAUUGUGCUGUAUGUAUCUUAGAUACAAACAUUGAAAACCAUAUUGAUGUGACUAUUCGCAGUGAACAGCGUCGAGCUUGUAACACGAGUAAUAACAGGAAAUUUCCUUGGAACCCAAACGUCUUGUAUAAAUCAUUAAGAUUGAUUUCGCCCAUUUUAAUUUUGAAUAUUCUCUUCGGUUAAUGGUGUUCAAACUAUGGCACAUCCACUACUGUUUGUCCUUGGGCUCCCUCUAGUGGUAUGCGAGGAAACCUGAUUCCUGAUUAGAUUACAUUGCAUUACAAUACAUUUAGCAGACGCCUAUUAGAUGAAUAAACUCUCUUAUAAUAUCUUUUGCCUGCUGGGCGUGUGUGUGUGUGUGUGUAAGAUUUUACACACAGAUGUGUGUAGACCAUGUGUAAGAUUUGUGCAGGAUUUUACAGGAUAGCUGUGUGCUGUAGUAUUUUAAUGUUUUUUAAUUGUCAUUUUUUAAAUUUUGAUUUCUCAAAAAGCCGAAAAGUAGUUAAAAAAGACCAACAAACACUUUCUUAUUGAAUUUUCAAAAAGUUUAUUAAGAUACCAAGAUCUAUUUUAUUGUUUCAGGUGCCCUACUUCCGGUCUCAUACUAUUGGCUCUUCCUGGAUACUGCGCAUGUGCAGAACGGAUCCAGGAAGACGCGAGGAAAUCAAACCCAUGGCGCCGCGAUUCAACGAUUCAAACCAACACCUAAUGUGAGAACGAAACUGCAACGUAGGAUUUAGCCCACGGCUAACAUGUCAGCCCUGAGUGGACUGGUAAUGGAGUGAGAAAUGACAGUCCUCGCUACAGAGAUCUCCUGUUUCUGGACGAGGAUGACGACGAUGAGGAGGAGGAGGAGGUGAAGGCAGUGCGAUGGUGGUUGGCCCUCUCUGGGGAGGAGUGAUACAGUCGGUCACAUUCUGAGCAGAAGCCCUGGAGGCAGGUGAGGCAGUGGGCAGACAUCCUGAAUAUUCCACAAACGGAGCAGUUCUCUGAAACACGAAACCCAUCCUACUGCAGGACCACGGACGGUCCAUCACUCAGAUCAAGUACAGCGGAGAAGGAGACCUUCAGUUUUCCUUCGCUAAAGAUCCAGUGGAACGACUCGUUACCUAAAACAGACACAACAGACUGGCAUACUGCAACAAUGUUAUGACAUGAAAGGUUAUGUUAUCAUGGAACAGCACCGUGUUGUGAAACCAUCAAAAGCAUAAUAAUUAUAAUAUUGUAAUUCAUUGUCUGACUGUUAUUGAACCAAGUAAAUGUGUAAUCAUGACACAGUUGACCCUAGCCUACGCUCAUGAAUUGCUGCCAUGAUACAUGCUACGUUCCCUAACUGGCUCUUCUCAGGGGACACCAAAAAAUGUCUUGACAGGAUCAGCUGACGACAGCUGUCGACUGUGGGACAGCGAGACCCGUGCUUGAAAAGAAAAUGCAUGUGAUAGAAGUUUCUGAAUCCCUGGGGAGUUCCAGCAGCAGUACAGCACUAAAACAACAAUAAAAACACACAACUAGGUGAAACACAAACAUGAGUAGCAGCACACUGUCAUGUUAUGGGAAAUAUAUACGUGUUCUUCUAAUCUGCAGGUUCUUCCAAGCUGCGUACGAAGAGGUGUUUGGCUGGAGUCAAAGGUCAUUUUGUUCCCAUCAACUGUGUGGCUUUCCACCCUGACGGCAAGAGGUAAAUGACACCAACACAGGUUUUGAUUGUUCCAAAAAUAGUUACAUCGAGGGCAGGGUUAGGGUUUCACCUCUCAUCCAAGAGACUCGUUCAGCAGAACUGUUUGGCCAUUGUACUUCCAUUGCGAUCCUUCCAGAAUAAAGAAAAUUGUUGUGUGUGAUUUGCAUUUAUUUACAGAAGUUGAGCAAAAAUGGGAAAAUAUGAAUGGGAUUUCUCAUUGCCUUAUAGGGCGUGCAUUGUCAAAGUCAAGGGUAUGGUAUAGGUUUUUUUUAGGUUUUUUUUUUUAGUUUUUUAUUUUAAGUUUUAGUUUUGUUUAGUUCCAAGCAGUAAGUUAAAAAAAAACAACCACAAUAUUUCACAAUAAUUGAACAAAAACAUUUCAGUCUUUUAAUAGCAAAAACACUUUUACACAUUUACAAAGUCCAUACAUACACAUUUGAAUACAAGUCAAAUUACAACAGUAACUCAAGAUGACCGCUCACAUACUCACAGAAUUCAACAAAGGUCAAAGGUCCCAUCAUCAGGAGUGGAACAGCUUGGUUAAACCUCUUCUUUUGACCUGAAACACAAGAUGAAAUAAAGACAACAUUCAAUACAAAUGCUCUCAGAUGUCUACACCAAGUGUUUAGCACUAGCAUGUUACAAAACACUUCAAUUAACCACUACAAUCUACUAGAAUUUCACAACUACAUGAAACAACAAGUCAAGUAACAAGUAAAAAUACUUUAUUUUGACAAAGUUAAAAACAACUCUCCAUCUAGCACAAACCUGAAUGUCCUCCUCCUCCUUUUUCACUUCUGCAAAGACAAAUAAAGUAAAUGCAAUAACACUAAUACUUGUUCUGGCUGUAGUCAAUCUUGUCUGUACUGGAUUUGUCCAGUUUAAUUUCUCUUCCCUGCUCAUUUAGUGUACUCGCCCCCAGGAGACAGAAAAUAAGAAGACCAACCUUGAUGACAGUAAAUUACUACUCACUGCUACUUUCUCAAAAAUGAUUAAAAAUACACUCAUUUGUCUUAAAAUACUUAACUAUGUCCAUUUUUGUUGUUAAAAUUGAGAAAAAAUAUACCUUUUUGGUACACCAACC